rnacentral:rRNA from 1 species
UGAGGAAUAUUGGUCAAUGGUCGGGAGACUGAACCAGCCAAGCCGCGUGAGGGAUGAAGGUACAGAGUAUCGUAAACCUCUUUUGUCAGGGAACAAAAGGCGCCACGCGUGGCGCUCCGAGUGUACCUGAAGAAAAAGCAUCGGCUAACUCCGUGCCAGCAGCCGCGGUAAUACGGAGGAUGCGAGCGUUAUCCGGAUUUAUUGGGUUUAAAGGGUGCGCAGGCGGAAAGUGCAAGUCAGCGGUCAAACGACGGGGCUCAACCCCGUCUCGCCGUUGAAACUGGCUUGCUUGAGUUGGAGAGAAGUAGGCGGAAUGCGCGGUGUAGCGGUGAAAUGCUUAGAUAUCGCGCAGAACUCCGAUUGCGAAGGCAGCCUACCGGCUCCAGACUGACGCUGAGGCACGAAAGCGUGGGUAUCGAACAGGAUUAGAUACCC